AUUCCUUCUUCUUCACAUCACCUAUUUACAAAUUCAACUUCAGUUUCAGAAUUGAAUCUCAAUGUCAAAAACCAAUUCCAAUUUGUAUCUCACUUCUUUUGUUCUUCUCUGAUUUGAAUCACCAACACCAACAACCACCCACAACCACCAUUAUUCACCUCCGUCUGCCACCACUGCCUACCACCUACCGACCAUCAACACCACCCCCACCACCUUCGACCCCCGCCAGCACCACCACACGCCCCACCGUCUCCCUUCUCCUCUCCCACGAAUCCCCCUGCUCCCUCCCCUGUUUCUUUUUCUCUGUUCUUGCUCGCACCACCACCAACGCCACCACAACCAGCAUCCAUCCCUACCACUCUGCUUCUCCUGUCGACCACCACCACCACCACGCAGCAAACCCACCUCUCAGCCCCGCCUUUUCUCGUUCCCUCUUGCACUCCCCUCCUUUUUCUCCCUCUUAUCCGCGAACCGCAACCACGCGGCCAGCAUCGCCCAGCCACGCCGGCGUUUCCCGUCGACGACCACCAAGCCCAGCCACCUCCCCUUCCCCUCCUUCCCCCUUCGUCCCCCCUUGAGCCGUGCACCCCCUUCCCCUGUCGUGCCUUCUCCCAAAAAAAAACCAAAACAUAAAUCCAAUUUUUAAAACUUUUGUUUUUAUUUUUACCUCAAAUCCAAAUUAAGGUUGGGCCAAUUGAAUUGGGCCUUUGAAAUCGGACUCGGAGCUCAGGACGAACGAACCAAGGAAAAUCCUUAGCAAAAUUGUGGAAGUGAGGUACUGCGGGGAACGAUGAAAACGAGUAGUGGCGAGGAAUUUCACUUUAAUAUUAUUCACCUAGUUUAUGUCUAAAAGUUUUAAUAGUUUAAUUAAAGACUUUUAGUAAGUUAUGUACCUUAAUUUUGGGAAUAUAAAGGAUUAUUAUGUUAAUUUGGAGUUUUAAUGGCUUAGAAUAUGAUUGUUGCCUUGUAAUUCCCAAGAGGGAGUUACGGCAGGUAAUAUCCCGACCGAUCUAGGUUAAUUCCGCUGCUAAGUACGAUUUAAUUCUUGGAUUAGAGGUCGGGGUGUUACAGGCAUACUUUGUGAUCAUGAUGUGGAGUCUUUGGAAAACAAGGAAUGACAGAGUUUUCAGGGAAGAAGGGGGUCAUGCUAGAAUGGUCCUGCUUCAAGCAAGGUUAGGAAUGCAGCAAUAGGAGACUUUUCAGAAGAACAUCUACCAAAACGUGGUGGAAAAUCUUGAAGGAAAUCACCAGAUUCCCCCGGGUUUUGGCUAGUGCAACUAGGGCAAUCCAAAUGGGAAUUUGCUAACUUUGUUUUGCAGGUGGAUGGGUCCUGGGAUAAGAUAACUAUGAAGGCAGGCUAUGGGUGGGCCUAUAAGAGGGAGGAUAAUGAUCACUAUGAAGAUGGGGGAGGGGGAUAUGGGUGCAUUGGUUCAGCUCUACAAGUACAGGCACAUGCGUGUUUGCAGGGACUAAGAUGGGCAAAAACAGAGAGAGUUACAAAGAUACUGAUCUUAACUGACUGCUCAAUAUUGAUCAAUUCUCUACAACCGGGGAGUGCGAAAGAUAUUCAAAUACACUGGAUGAUCGGAUAAAUCAUAAUGGUCGCUCAAUGCUUUAGUGUAACACCUUAAUAAUUCCUUGCUUUUAUAAAAUCAUUUUCCAACUUAAAAUAAA